GACGAACGCUGGCGGCGUGCCUAAUACAUGCAAGUAGAACGCUGAAGAGAGGAGCUUGCUCUUCUUGGAUGAGUUGCGAACGGGUGAGUAACGCGUAGGUAACCUGCCUGGUAGCGGGGGAUAACUAUUGGAAACGAUAGCUAAUACCGCAUAAAAUGGAUUAUCGCAUGAUAAUCCAUUGAAAGGUGCAAAUGCAUCACUACCAGAUGGACCUGCGUUGUAUUAGCUAGUUGGUGGGGUAACGGCUCACCAAGGCGACGAUACAUAGCCGACCUGAGAGGGUGAUCGGCCACACUGGGAAUGAGAAACGGCCCAGACUCCUACGGGAGGCAGCAGUAGGGAAUCUUCGGCAAUGGACGGAAGUCUGACCGAGCAACGCCGCGUGAGUGAAGAAGGUUUUCGGAUCGUAAAGCUCUGUUGUAAGAGAAGAACGAGUGUGAGAGUGGAAAGUUCACACUGUGACGGUAUCUUACCAGAAAGGGACGGCUAACUACGUG
rnacentral:rRNA from 1 species